rnacentral:ncRNA from 1 species
CAGAGUAGAUUUUCGGGCGUAAAGUGCCGGCAAAACGGGGAGUUGUUUGUCGGACGAAGGUGUGCGAUACGCAUAUACCGCGGUCCGGAUUUCGCAUCCCGCUG